CGAUGUAGAACAUAGAUGAAUAACGCCACGUCGUGUGGCAUCAUCUAUGUGACUCACAUCCUGUGAG
rnacentral:sRNA from 1 species